AUUGAACGCUGGCGGCAGGCCUAACACAUGCAAGUCGAACGGUUGAAGGGAGCUUGCUCCUGGCUUCGGCGGCGGACGGGUGAGUAAUGCCUGGGAAUCUGCCUGGUCGUGGGGGAUAACGUCCGGAAACGGGCCCUAAUACCGCAUACGUCCUCAGGGGGAAAGUGGGGUAUCUUCGUACCUCACGCUAUCAGCUCAACCGAGGUCGGUUUAGCUAGUUGGUGGGGUAAAGGCCUACCAAGGCGACGACCCGUAACUGGUCUGAGAGGAGGAUCAGCAAAAUUGGAACGGAGAAACGGCCCAGACUCCUACGGGAGGAAGCAGUGGGGAAUAUUGGAAAAUGGGGGAAAGCCGGAUGCAGCCAGGCCGCGGGUGGGAAGAAGGUCUUCGGAUUGUAAAGCACGUUAAGUUGGGAGGAAGGGCAGUAAGUUAAUACCUUGAUGUUGUGACGUUACCAACAGAAUAAGCACCGGCUAACUUCGUG
rnacentral:rRNA from 1 species